GUACAUCUAGGUCUGUGGGCCGUGACAAGUCAACUUGUGGUUUGUCAAGGUCCAGUUCUAUGAGCCGGGACAGUUCAAGUAGUCGUUCGUCCACGUCCGUGGGCCGGGACAGUUUAAGUAGUGUACCCAGGUCCCAGGCUGUGGAGAGCAAGUCCAUAGAUGGUCUUACACAUGAAAGUUCCAAAUACAAUAGGACUGUGCCAACCACAUUCCCGAUGUCAGAAGCGAGUUUGUCAGCUGGCAAGAGUGGGGGGUAAAGACAUUAAAGACUGCACGUACAAAAUGUUGGACAGGCUCCUCACCAAUCAACUGAUGACCCUUUUCAACAUGAAGGGGAAGGGCAAAAAAGAGAAAAUG